AAUAACCCAGUUCUUGGUAACUUCUGAUGAGCUUGCUAUAUCAGGUUUUGGUGAUUGCCUGUCAGAGGCUUCCUUACCGACUUUCACCCUAAAGGGAUUUAAAAGUCACUUCUGUGGUUUUCUUUACAGCUCUGAUUUUAAUCCCUCCUAGUACAAUAGUCACCUGCAUCUCUUUAUAGAUCUAGUGAUAAUGGAGCACAAGUGGAAAUGGUUUUAGGUGAUUUGUGCCAAGGCAUGUGUUAACCUGUCUGCAGCUGUCCCCCCACUGACUGCUGUGCCUGUUGCUGUGUCACAUCUUCCUCUGCGACUUGUUUCCUUCUUCUCUCCUCAGAUGCGGUUUCAGUGACACGCGCCUGGUCUGGGCCGCGUUCCCUGGCGCUGCUGCCGGAUCAGAGCUGCUCAGGGUGAAGGAAGUCCCAUGGCAGUGGAAGGUUCCUGUCCCACCCCAGAGGAGGAAGGGAAGGUGACUUGCUGCAGGCGCUGUGGGUUGCGAUCAGAAGCUCAGAGGAACAUCCAGUUCAGGAACAGCAGGUGCUGUGUGUUGCUGCAAAUCUCCACCAUAGCAGGACAGUUGUGGUAAGCCCAAGUUAUCUUCAGCCCUGGCCUUGUGCUGUACACUCAAGUCUACCCUGAAUGUGCUGCUCUGGCAAAGAGUGAUGAAAUCUGAGGUGGAGCUCUGCAUUCCCUGUGCCUGUUCUCCCCCUGGGAGGAGCACAAGGAUGGGCCUGUGCACUUUGGGAUGAGGUGCUAGAAAACACUGAGGUUCCAGAAGAUUUAGGCACUCCCUAGGAGAAACUUUCCAAGAAACGAGUCUCUUUAGGUGUUAGAAGUGCAAAAGGGGGAAAUGCUUCUUCAUUUCUUCAGAAAUACCUCAGGUUUGGCCCAGCAGAGAUGGGUCCUGAUCCUUUUUGCAGUUGAGUUUGCUUAAGGCACUUCCCAAAUGAGCUCAUGUUCGUAGAUUGAAGGGAACCCUAAAUAAGAAGAAGCCUUCAGAUACAACAUGAGCCUGUAAGUCGAGGCAGGUUAAUCCCAGCCUCAUUUCUAAGUCUUAAACUUUUGUAACCGUUGAGAUCCCUGGACCUCCACCUACUCCGUGGGACUGAUCUGUGUCCUUACUCGGCAGCCGAGCGCUGAUCCCAGCAGAGACUCGAUUUGAUUUGAGCUAUGCUGGAUCUCGGGCUGGUUAAAACUUAAAGAGAACAAAAGUGUGAACCUCGGCCCGGCGGCUCCUGUUCCGGCAGCUCCGGGACGCACCGGGAGGAGAGGGGGAAUGUCGGAUCGGGGACCGGGAAUGUCGGAUCGGGAACCGGGACUCGGGACCCGUACGGAGUCUUCCGGGCGG
rnacentral:lncRNA from 1 species